UGGCUUUAAACUUACAGGUUGCUAUCCCAAACAUUUAGAUACUCUCUUGCUGCUUGAUGUGGUGACUGACUUAUUGUAGCUAGCUUUCGGAUUACACGGUUGUUGCUGUGGUGUUUGAUAGCAGAUACCUUUAUUGAUGUACGAUAGACAUGAGUGUUUGAUAGCAGAUUCUGAAGUGCUAAACACUGUAGCUGGUUGUUGCUGCCCUUGUGGGGUGAGGCUGGCAAUGAUGUUUCAUGCUUUGACAAUGGGUGCGUUGAUGUUUGCUUUCCCCAAAAUAAAG
rnacentral:misc_RNA from 1 species